UCUUCGCUAGUAUAUCGGUUAGUAUAACCGCCUCUCAAUAGGGAGUUUCCUAAUUGGAAUAUCGCGGUAGAGCAGGGUUCAACUCCCUGGCGGAGAA
rnacentral:tRNA from 1 species